UUUCAGUGCAAACAGAGUUGUUUAAACUGUGUUUGGUGGUGGAAAUGUUAGGAAAAUCAGGCAGCGGCCAGACAACCGUAGAGAUGGGAUUCCACAGAUGACUGAUUUUUGCUACUUUGGUUUUCUACUGAUUCGAUCUUACAUUU